GGGCUCUGCUCAUCCCUUUGCACGUUCUACAAAGUAUCUGGAAAUCGAUGGAUAGAGUAGCCGCUUUUCGUAUGGGGAUUGUUUGGAUGACUUUAAAUCACCUUUGAGAUCUAUCCUUGUGCAAGUCUACGGUCAACUGUGUAAAAAGAACCUCUUCUGGUUGUGUGAAGAGCCAACAAAAUGGCAUCCGCUGUGGACCUGUUGCUUCGGUGGACGAAUUGGAGCAGAUCCAAGCCAUUACUCAGACAGGAGCUGAUAUGCUUCAACACCAGCCUCUCAAAACACUUCAUCACUGUGGAUGUCAGUGCUACUGGCCAAUAAUUAUUUAGACAAGUCACACGCUCUUCUUGGGCACUGGUACAAUUGAAGCCUGCUUGUAGCAGGUGGGUAUCACACACAUCCGGAGUGAGAGGUUGAAGAUAUUCAUGAAUACAUCAGCCAGGUGUUCAGU